AAACUGUGCAGUGAGGCGAGUGGGGGCUAAUCAAUUGAAGUUUCAUUAAUUAGUUUUCUUUGUUUAACUUGAUAAUUAUUUGUUGUAGGACUCCAGUGUUUUGUUUGUGAUAAUUUAAUUUCUUUGUCCUUUUUUUUUAUUGUAGGCUUAUCAGCCUAAAAUCUGAUGCAUUCAUCAUGCUUUUUUAUAUUGUAGAUUCCAAAUUUUAGGAAUGUCGUUGAGAUUUUUUAGGACAUUUUUUUUUCUUUCACUUAAGUCAUUUAUAAAGAUAUUAUGAUCAAGAAUAUUUCUUAAAAAAAUAAAUAAAUAAAAUUUCCAAAAAAUUGUCAAGACCUCAUCCUAUGUAAUUCCUCCAUUCUUUCAAACAAAAUGAUAUUCUCAUUGCAUUAUUUAUUUUUUCAUCAUGUAUUCAGUUGGUUGCAAUAGUAUGCAUGUUGCAGUUUAGAAUCACUCGUAUAUAUUUGUAUUCCAAGUAAUGUGCUUGAUAGCUAGCUUUAUUUUCUCAUUGUUUUAGUUUGAUGUGGCAGGCUCUGAGAGUUCCCGUUCACAGGCUUGUACAGGCUGCUGAUUCUAUUUUGGUGUGCUUGUCAAAAGGUUUGGGAGCUCCUACUGGAUCUGUUCAUGUAAGUUCAAAAAACUUUAUUGCAAAGGCUAGAAGGCUUAGAAAAACCUUAGGUGGAUGCAUGAGGCAACUUGAGUACUUGUGCAGCUGCUUAUGUUGCUUUGAGUGAGAAUGUUAGCAAGCUUGAAGAGGAUCAUAGAAAAGCCAAAAUAAUAGAAGGGUAAUCUCCGGCGCACUCAGCAUGAGCUGGAGAAGAGCAUCAGCCCAUCCUGGAUUAGCUUAGUAGAUGCCUCCGGCUUCUGACAUCAAUCAUGGAUCCUACGAGGUUUUAUGCUUCAAUAAGGUCACUUUCCAUAAAUUAAUUUCUACUGCGCGCAUGGGUUCAAUAUAUUUGUGGCGCUAGCAGAUGGAAUGAAUUAGAUGUGCUUUAGUCGCGUGCAUCUAAACCAGUUUGGAAUGUAAUUCAAAGCUAGCGACUAUAGAUAAGCUUUGAAUAAAAUCACAAGUCAUGCAGAUGAGAUGUUAUCUGCACAAAUUAGCUGGUCUGUGCAUAGGCCUUUGUUGUUGCAAAGGUUUUUCUCAUGAAAGAGUUCUUGCAAUGAUAAUAUGGGCUCCUUUGGCUUUCCUUGAAGCUUCCAAAAAUAAAUUACAUAUGGAGUCUCCUGCCAAUGGUAUAAUGGAAGGACAAAAUAAGGGAGGUAACAAAGCGCUUCUUCAUCUAAAAACAUGAAAAUGGUUACCAGAAUAGUGGAUCUUAGAUUUGAUACUGUGAUGUGAUGCGAGCUGCCAUGGCUAACACUGAUGUGAAUGAUGAUGCCUUAGGAACAGACCCUACGACAUUUUGAUUAGAGUCUCAGGUGGCCAAGGUUAUCUAAAAUGAAGCCUCUAUCAAGGAAGAGAUGCACUAUCAGCAGGUUAAUUAUGAUAACAUUGAAGGGAUCAAGGCUCUUAACCACGAAGGAGCCAAAUUGUAGUGGAUUGAUAAGGAAGGAAAGACUCCAUCGGUUCUUGCUUGUAUGCGACCUGAUCUUCUACAUGUUGCGAAAGUUCUAAUCAAAUUGGGUGCGAAUGCGAAUGCUUAUCGCCUUGGAAGUCAUCCAGGAACUCCUUUGCAUCAUGCAACAAAAAGAGGCCUCGAUAGUGCUGUUAUUCUACUUCUUUCUCAUGGAGGUAUAUGUUCUUAAGCAAUUUUCUUCCUUUCUAGAAGAACAACUUAGUUUCCCUAAGAAUUCUUAGCUGGAUCCAAGACGUAAAUUUGAAUGCUGCACUCAACCUGAUGUCAUCAUAAAGGAAUGUCUUGCUAUAUAUAUUACAAAAUAGAAAUAUACUUUUGAAGCUAAUGACUGAUUGGAAAUUGAUGGAUGAACUUAAAAUUCUCAUACAAGGUCUCUUGUCCUCUUGACCUGAUAAUUAAUGCAGAGAUAUUGAAGAAAUAUAAUCAAGUCAUGGAUUUCCUUCUGAAGGUCAAACGUGCAAAACAUUUGAUCAAUAAAGCUCGAAGAUGGAUGUGGAAGGGGAGGAUUGCAGUGCAGAAUCACAAACAUCACUUGUUAGUGGAACAAAAACUUGUCCAUUUUAUUGAUGCAUUUCAUCAAUAUGUAUUGGAUUGAGUAAAAGGUAUUUCACAGUACUUGGAUUGAAUUCUGCACUGCCAUGUCUGCUGCAGGCUCUCUUGAUGAAGUUUUAGAAGUUCAUGAUGCCUACCUUUCAUCGAUCCAACGACAAUGUUUUGUCGGCCCAGAUAAGCUAGUUCAGUCAAUCAAUUAACCUUCACUACCUUUGCAUUCUAAUGAAUAAAAAUAUAAAUGGGCAUUUUGCUGAAAUAAGUUCAUUUAAUUUAUGGCUAUAUCAUAUUACUCCAUUCGAAAGCCUUUAUAAUUCAUUGUUUUAUUGUUCAAUUAUUUUUAUGCUAGAUUUUUCUCUGCUGAAGGCUAAUAUAAUGAAAUGCAUAUUUUCUUUGAUGUUUCAGCAAAUCUUUUAGUGAUGAAUGAUGAUUGUCAAAUCCCUCUUGAAUUGGCCAGAGCCAAAUUGCAUUCCAAUGUUUUGCUUGCUAUUGAGAAUCGUAUGUGUUUAUUUGCUUGUUGGCUAAGGGAGAUUCAUGGGCCAAGCAUUUUGGAAGCAUUUGCUCCUCAAUGGGUGUCAAAGAAAAUGUUUGUAUUGUGUUUUUCUUUUUAUAUUCUAUUCUACUAGUAGUUUUUAGAAAUUCAGUUAUUGUGUAUUAAUAUGGACGGUUUCUUACUAAAUCAUCUUCUAUUUAACAAUUGGGUUGUUGUUGUACCCUGUGAUUCUCGUAAUGUCACAAAUCUAAGGAAGUUUGAGCUGGUUAUAUA